CAGUCGCCACGGGAACACGAAGGGGGCUAGCGUUGUUCGGAAUUACUGGGCGUAAAGCGCACGUAGGCGGAUAUUUAAGUCAGGGGUGAAAUCCCAGAGCUCAACUCUGGAACUGCCUUUGAUACUGGGUAUCUUGAAUAUGGAAGAGGUGAGUGGAAUUCCGAGUGUAGAGGUGAAAUUCGUAGAUAUUCGGAGGAACACCAGUGGCGAAGGCGGCUCACUGGUCCAUUACUGACGCUGAGGUGCGAAAGCGUGGGGAGCAAACAGGAUUAGAUACCCCAGUAGUCCCUGUCUCUUAUAC
rnacentral:rRNA from 1 species